ensembl:lncRNA
UUUCAUGUGAUGUAACAACAGGACAGCUAGCGUGGCCUGAGCCCCCAUCCAUGCCAAGAACAUCUCGUUGAACCCUUCCAACAGCCGUAAGAGCAGUCAAGCACUGGGAAGCAUCACCCCCGGAGUCUCCUCCAGCCGCCCUCAGACUCCACGAACAGCAUCGGGAAGAUCCUGACUCCCGCCACCCACCCCCAGCCUCCUCCUGAGCCCUCGUGGUGGCUGCUGUGACGCAUCGCCCAGAGCCCCCUUCAGAAAUGGAGGACGUGCCCCCUGGCUGCAGAAGAGCUGCAGACACACAGCCCUCACCUGUCAUCCCGCUUCCAGAGAUUGCCCAGCUGGGGGAGCCGCCUCACCCACGACCACACCCCCUCCCCGGGGCGGUCCGCCGCCAGUGAUCCACACAGGGGACUCAGCACUCAGACGCUAUCUUCAAGAGCAGUGCAUUUCAGGAUCCCCAGACCCGGAGUCACGGGCCAGGCCAGGGCCAUCCCAGGACUGGAGGUGGCCGCCCGACUCGGCCAAAGGCGGGCACCAGAGUAAGAUUGCCAUCCGUAUUUUAUCGCUGAGACCGCUAAGGAGCAGAAAAGGUCAGCCUGCGCCUGAGUCACCCGGGGAGGUCACGGUUUGUGCUGAGGAGACGGACCCAGGCCCGUAGGAAGAGCCGGCCCACCAGGAUGCAGGCCCCCAGGGCGAUGGCGACGACGGGCCAGGAGCCGUUUCAACCCUUCACGUGCCCCCACCCACCGGAUCCACAGAGCAGCUCCGUGAGGUGAGGAUUCUCAUUACCCCCAUUUUAUAGACGAGGCAAUGGGGGCUCCGAGGAGAGACGCCCAAGGCCACACACCCAGGAAAUGCCAGACUCGGGCUUCAGUCUGGCUCCAGGCCGCCCCAACCUACAGCUCCACUGCAACAUGGAGGCCCAGCCAGCUCUGGCGUGGGGCAGCCCUGGCACCAGCCCCUGCCACCCCUCACCGCCUCUGCGACCUCGAGCACAUGAGCCAAUCUUCUGAGCCUCAGGGCUCGGGGCGGUGAAAAGGGGGAAAAGCGGCGCCCGCUCUACAGGAGUCUAAGGACCAGAGACAACGAUGCCAAAGGACCUGGGGGACGGGUCUGGCACACAGCAGGCAUUCAGUAAAUGGCUAUUAGUAUUCAAAUUGCCGAGGAGACCAGGCUUCACGCCCUGGCAUGGGUCCCCCAGCUUCGGGCACGGGGAGAGCCGGGCUGGCCCCUGUCUCCCCUCCCCGCCCCUCCCCUCCGCCACCUCCCCUCCUCCUGAAUCAGAGGCCAGCAGGGCUCUUUCUGCAUUUGGUCUGCCCCAUGGAGUGGACCUGGGAGCCCUCAGGGUCCAGGGACCCGUCACCGGGGCUGGACUCAGACCCCAGCGGCGUUGGGAGUGAGCAGGACCGUCAGAAGAUGUGGCUUCAGAUGAGAGACAAGUCAGACUCAUACGUCACAGCCCGUACAGAGGAGCCCUGUUUCUGGUCAUGGAGGGAAAUGGAACCCGGCAGUCCUGGUGUCCCUCCCCAGAGACUCAGCCCGGUGACUGGCCGUGGGGCUGCAGCCUCCCUGUAUUACCAGAACUUUAAUCUCACACCCAAUUCAAAACAACCUCAUCUUCCCAGACACCUCUCAGCCUGGGCCUCCCAGGGUUGGGACCCUGCCGUGGAGAGACUGGUCAUGGCCGGUGUUCUGGAUGCUUCCUCUUCUGUGUUGUGCUUCUGCACCUGCUGGCCUCCGCCUCGCCUCUGCUGGCUUCCUUAGGGCUGGAGCGGAGCAAGGCGGGAGAGGCACGGGUGAAGACCUGCCAGGGUUGGUGCCCUCUGGGGGUGGUGCAUCCUUCCCCUCCCGGGACACUUGGGAGGGUUUCCUGGAGACACCCCGUGGCAGCUCCCCGGCUGGUCCUGCUUGCCAAACCCCUCAGCCCCUGGCUUUCUGCUGUCCCCACCCCCCAACAGACUCUCGGUGGAGUCAUCUCACUCUAAGCUGGCUCUCCAGGUGGAGGCCCUUUCAAUAUAACUUCCUGCUGGAGAGGAGGACCCACAUCCGGCCGGGAGAAGCCCACGUCUUCGCCCCGCACUCAUGGUAGGAGACUCUGGCCGCCACCUUAUUGCUGGGUCAUGUCCUUAGUCAUCACUAGAGACUUUUUUAUGUCAGUGAGGUCCCCAGUCCCUGCAUCACGCAGGUUUUAGGUGGCUCAGGCAUCACUUGUCUCGAGGCCCUUCUUUUGGCUUAAGGUGAGGGAGACGCACGGCUUUCCCCAUGAGGAGAAGACUGGAGGUGCCAUGGAACUCCAGAACCCCCCUAUCCAAGUCGUCCUCGUCUCCAUCUUUUCCCCAUCAGUUCUCACCCUUCCUUUGCAGGCGAUGGACAGAGGGGAGCCAGGUGGCACUUUUUGGGUCACCCUUAGGACAGCCUUCUGAGGUGACCCGCCAUGUCUCUGCAGUGUGUGGACCUGACCACCCUCUGUUCAGCUUUGUGACGGCAGGAGACAGUGUUCAAAUGCGGCCGCCAAUGAUUCUUCCCUUCCAAGAGUGCACAUGCCGCUCUUCCCGCCAGAAGGCGGAGUUUCUCCCCCUCCCGUCACACUGGGGCUGGCCUGCUUUGGGCCAUAGAGUGUGGAGGAGGUGACGCCAUGCUGGUGCCGGGCCUGGCCCUUGAGAGUCCCUUUCGCCCCCCUGGAACCCUGUCGCUGAGCUGUGAGGAGGUCCUGGCUGUGCUGCUGGAGAAGGAGGCUGUGCAGAGAGGCCGCGGGGGAUGAGGUGCCACAUGGACAGAGGGGCCCCGAGGCGGGAGAGCUCACGUGUGCCAGCCGACAGGCAGCCCAUGUGACGGGGGUCUUCUCAGGCCUUGCGCCCAUCACCAACUGAACGCGGCUGUGUGCGUGGUUUCAGCUGACUGACGCGGAGCAGAAGGCCAGCCCAGUCAACUGGAGACUCACGAGAAAUAGUAAAUCACUGUGGCUUUAAGACACUAAGUUCUGGAGCGUUCGUUACACAGCGAUAGUUCACUGAAACAGGAGCCUUUGCUGAACCGAGACACCAGGAGCCAGGAAACCAGGAAACUACGUCUCCCGUCAGAGUCUCACUCGGUGAGCAGGGCAUACAGGACAGGGCUGGGACCUCAGGAAGAACCCGGUAAAGAGCUACCAUUGAUCCUGGUGUCAUUAUUAAUAUCUGAGGUUGUGAAGACCUGGGUUCCAAUUCCAUCUUUGUCAGUUAGCCAGUUGGUGACGCCUCCCCGUUUUUGAGCCCGAUUUUUUCCAUCUGUGAAUGAGAACAUCUUAUUUCCUUCCAUGUGAUCGCUGUGAGGAUUAGAGAAAGUCUAUGUGCAGCCGCUGAAAUACGCUGUGAAAAUGGCGUAUCUCAGAUAGGGGCUAUUCCUGCAACCUGGAUCCUGGAUCCCGCGAGUGGAGGAGAGAUGCAGAUGCUGUAGUUGCCACAGGCGACUGUAAUGUCAACCUCCUCACAGCGGCCAACUGAACAUCUUUGGGUCAGAAGCUAAAUCAUGACGCUCUCCUGCAUAAAAUCCUUGGCAGUUAGACUGAGAUCCAAGCUCCUGCCAUGGCCUAUGUAUCAGUCACGGUUCAGCCAGGAAAACACCACCGGUGCCAGAUGGAUAUUAAUAGAUGGACUUAAUAUGGGGAACAAGCUAUGAAGGUGUACGAAGAGCAGAAAGAGCAAC